rnacentral:rRNA from 1 species
UACGGAGGGGGCAAGCGUUGUUCGGAUUUACUGGGCGUAAAGGGAGCGUAGGCGGUUGAUCAAGUCCGGUGUGAAAGCUUUACCACUCAACGGAAAGAGGUCACUGGAAACUGGUCGGCUGGAGUAAGGUAGAGGCAAGCGGAAUUCCUGGUGUAGCGGUGGAAUGUGUAGAUAUCAGGAAGAACAUCUGUGGCGAAGGCGGCUUGCUGGGCCUUUACUGACGCUGAGGCUCGAAAGCGUGGGGAGCAAACGGG